rnacentral:misc_RNA from 1 species
GUAGGUGAACCUGCGGAGGGAUCAUUAACAUAACAUUUGCUCGUGUGGGAACAAGUUGAUGCGUUUGUCAUCCCGCAAGGAAUGAUGAGCAAGUCGCUUGCCCUGCACGUUCAAUCACACCCGCGAACUUAUUCAACCACACACCCGGACACGCAUCCUUUGUGAUGCGCUUCCACCCACUUUUCACACCCCUUCUCAUUCUUUUACACACACUGAUUGUGUUCGUCCUUGUGGCGUCCGCUCUCAUGUACACUAAUCUAUAUAUCACUCCUAGCAAUGGAUAUCUUGGUUCUC